GGAACUUAUGACUGGAUGUUUGCGAUCGUUGCCUGUGAGCGGUGGGGGUGAGGGCCUGCUGUGGGGAUGUGGGGCAUUUAUGUGCGGAGGUCUGUGCGGUGCUGUGUUGCGUGUGUGUGUGCGUGAUGUGCUGUUCGUUUGGCGAUUGAUAACUGUAAAAUGUAUGCAAAUAUCUUUAUUGAUGUAUGUGUUUGUGCGACGAUGAUUGUUGCACAAGUUUAUGGAAUGCGAUCGGUGGAUGCCUUCCCACCAACAACCGAAUGAAGGACGGACUGACCUGCACACCAGCCCUGGUGAGUUGAGCGAGCAAUCAGCGAUCAGGGGGUGACCGAAUAAGGAAGCAAGGAAUGUCCUUAGUAAUGGCGGGAGGCCCUGCCCUGAAUGUAUAUGGGUGUGGGUGGUAACGCGGGGAAGUGAACCUUCUUAUUACCCGAAGAAAAAAAAAACAAGUGUGAUUCCGUGAGUACCGGCAAACAA
rnacentral:rRNA from 1 species